UAUUUUUAUGUAAUUAUGUAUUUUUGUGUAAUUUUGUACUGAUGUUGUGAUUUAAAUAUUUGUAUUUUUGUGUGAUUCUGAAUUUUGUGUAAUUCUAUACUGAUGCUGUGUUUUAAAUAUUUGUGUUUUUUGUGUAAUUUUGUAUUUUUUGUAAUUUUGUGAAAUUUUGUACUGAUGUGAUUUAAAUAUUUGUAUUUUUGUGUAAUUUUGUACUGAUGGUGUAAUUCAAAUAUUUGUAAUUUUGUGUGAUUCUGUACUGGUGUAAUUUAACUAUUUGUAUUUUUGUUUAAUUUUGUACUGAAGGUGUAAUUAUAUAUUUGUAAUUUUGUGUAAUUUUGUAUUUUUUGUAAUUUUGUGAAAUUUUGUACUGAUGUGAUUUAAAUAUUUGUAUUUUUGUGUAAUUUUGUACUGAUGGUGUAAUUUAAAUAUUUGUAUUUUUUGUGUGAUUCUGUACUGGUGUAAUUUAAAUAUUUGGAUUUUUGUUUAAUUUUGUACUGAAGGUGUAAUUAUAUAUUUGUAAUUUUGUGUAAUUUUGUAUUGAUGGCAUAAGGAUUUGUAAUUAACAAAGUCUAAGAUUCUGUUUUAUAAGAUCUUUUAAUGUUUAUGUAAAAGUGGAAUGUAUUUGUUUACAAUUUUAUAAAAUCUUAGUAAUUGUGUGAUUUUGUAACAAGUAAAAUGUUUUAUGUUUGUGGUUUUGUAACAAGUUAAAUGUUUGUGGUUUUGUAACAAGUUAAAUGUUUGUGGUUUUGUAACAAGUUAAAUGUUUGUGGUUUUGUAACAAGUUAAGUGUUUGUGUUUAUGUGGUUUUGUAACAAGUUAAGUGUUUGUGUUUAUGUGAUUUUGUAACAAGUGACGUGUUGGUGAUUUUGUUACAAGUUAAGUGUUUGUGGUUUUGUAACAAGUUAGUGUUUGUGUUUAUGUGAUUUUGUAACAAGUUAAGUGUUUGUGUUUGUGGUUUUGUAACAAGUUAAAUAUUCAUAUUUGUGUGGUUUUGUAACAAGUUAAAUGUUUGUUUUUGUGAUUUUGUAACUAGUAAUAGCAAAGUUACUUUGUACCGACAUGGUAUGUGGUGCUAUAUCUUGAAAUACUCAACCCUGAAUGUAGAGACAAACUCUGAACAGUCGACAAACAGAUCAUUUAGAACAGAUGAUCGAUUACAAGAGUAACAUGAACAUUACUGUCAUUUUAGCAGAACUUGAAUAUAUAGUGACAGAACAAUUCUCUUAACAAAGAUGUUUUUUUUAAUAGAGGUCUUCAUUUUACAGGGGUGGUAUUUUUAUAGAUGUGUUCACAUAACAAGGCUUGUCUCUUUAAAGAGGUAUUCACAUAAUGGAGGUGGUCUUUUUAAAGAGGUAUUUGCAAAACAGGAACUUUCUCUUUAUAGAGGUUUUCACAGAAGAGGGUUGAUCUCUUUAUAGAGGUGCUCACAAAAUGGAAGUGGUCUCUUUAUAGAGGUGCUCACAAAAUGGAGGUGGUCUCUUUAUAGAAGAGUUCAUAUAAUGGAGGUGGUCUCUUUAUAGAGGUAUUUACACAGCAGGAGUUUUUCUCUUUAUUGACAUUUCAAAUAAUAGGGAUGGUAUCUUUAUAGAGGUUUUCAACAAACAGGAGGUGGUCUCUUUAUAGAGGUGCUCACAAAAUGGAGGUGGUCUCGUUAAAGAGGUAUUUAUAUAACAGGAGCAGUUUCUUUAUGAAGGUUCACAAAAUGGAGGUGGUCUCUUUAAAGAGGUUCUCACAAAAUGGAGGUGGUCACUUUAUAGAGAUGCUCACAAAAUGGAGGUUGUCUCUUUAUAGAAGAGUUCAUAUAAUGGAGGUGGUCACAUUUAGGAGUUCACAUAAUGGAUAUGGUCUCUUUAAAGAGGUAUUUACAUAAUAGGAGCGGUUUCUUUAUGGAGGUUUUCAAAUAACAGGGAUGGUAUCUUUAUAGAGGUGUUCAUGUACAGGAGUUGGUCUCUUUAUCAAGGUGUUCACAUAACAUUUUUGUAGAGGUUAUUUCUGUUGAAAAAUGAUCUCUAGAACAUAGUAGUUUUUAAAUAGAGGUAGUUAGGCCUAGAUAUGGUCUGUUAUCAGGGGUGAUCAUAAAGUGGAGGCUGUCUUAAGAGGUGUACUUUUAACAGGGGUAGUAUUUUAUAUCUCCUAUCACUGGAUUAAUAGAUUAUUCAGGACCCUUUAAUAAGAUUCAUCAGUUUGGAUACAUAAAUAUAUACAUAUACAAAUUUAAUCUUUACAUAAGCAGUAUAUGUAACAAUGCGUACAAGUGUUGUAUACUGUUUGUGUAAAGAUAAACCUGGUAUAUAUUAUAAUUCAGGACCUUGUGAUUACAUACAAAUGUUCUGUUUUGUAAAUAUAUUCAAAAUAACACAUGGCAUGAACUCUACCAGAAAUAUACAUGUAGGGCCAUUGGCUUAUUUUGUAUUAACCUGUAAAUCAUUUGGGUUUUCCAGUGCAAUUAACUCGCCCCGGAAUGACUGUUUAUAAUAACUUACAUCUGUUGUAUAUACUUUAUUUAUUUUACACAAUUGGAAAACAAGCUACAUGUAUACCAACUUAUCCUAGUCAUACGUUUAGGCCCUGAUGGUGGUCCUACAGGUGACCUCAUAUCUUUACAUGUCCGAAUCACGAAGGUGAAAGACACGGGCUACUGCUGUACCACCCGACCACACUUGCAUCAAUUAUCGCUCCAUUUAAUCAAAUUAAAGUAAAUUCUAAAUUUUAGUUAAUUUGGUUAUUGAAUAAGUUAAUCUAGUUAUUGAAUCAGUUUAUUUGGUUGACAUUGAAAAUCUUUAGAAAUGUAAAAUAUGCAAUCUAAUUGAAAUUUUUCUAAGGACAUUGUAAAGAGUAAUUAUAAGCUUCAAAAUUUGUUCUAUAAAUCUAUAAUUGGUUGAUAUCUUCUUUUUGUUACUAUUCAUUCAAAAGUUUCACAAAAUACAUAAUUACGCAUAAUUUCAUUUAGAUUAGAAAACCACCUUAGAACGUUUUUGAAAGAUGAAUAUGACACAUUUCUAUAGUAUAGUUUUGACAUAAAAUUGUAACAAAGCAUGUCUAUUUGAGAUAUGUGCUGACCUAUUCUAAUUUUUUUUUUAAUCUUCUUAUAAGCUGAUGACUACCAUUAUCCAUUGAAUUACUAGUGGAAAAUGCCAACAUAUGCUGUUUUUACUGUCUGGUAAUGGGCUGAUGUCUCACUUGGGUUAUACAUUACAUGUGACCCCUGGGCUUAUUGUAAGAUAUAUAUGUUAAUUUAUCUGUAGUUUAUAUAACUUUGACCAUCAAUGUGCUCAAGUUGUGCUUACAUAUCACAAACCAGUAUUAUAUGGUGCUAUUAUUAUAUCAGAUUUUAUGUAUAUUUUGAAUAAAAGAUAGAUUUUCGAAGAA